rnacentral:rRNA from 1 species
GACGAACGCUGGCGGCGUGCUUAACACAUGCAAGUCGAACGGAAAGGCCCAGCUUGCUGGGUGCUCGAGUGGCGAACGGGUGAGUAACACGUGGGUGAUCUGCCUCUAACUUCGGGAUAAGCUUGGGAAACUGGGUCUAAUACCGGAUAGGACAAUCGUUUAGUGUCGGCUGUGGAAAGUUUUUUCGGUUAGGGAUGAGCCCGCGGCCUAUCAGCUUGUUGGUGGGGUAAUGGCCUACCAAGGCGUCGACGGGUAGCCGGCCUGAGAGGGUGGACGGCCACAUUGGGACUGAGAUACGGCCCAGACUCCUACGGGAGGCAGCAGUGGGGAAUAUUGCACAAUGGGCGCAAGCCUGAUGCAGCGACGCCGCGUGGGGGAUGACGGCCUUCGGGUUGUAAACCUCUUUCGACAGGGACGAAGCUUUGGUGACGGUACCUGUAUAAGAAGCACCGGCUAACUACGUG